UUGGAGGGCAAGUCUGGUGCCAGCAGCCGCGGUAAUUCCAGCUCCAAUAGCGUAUAUUAAAGUUGUUGCAGUUAAAAAGCUCGUAGUUGAACCUCGGGGUCUACCCAUUGGUCAGGCUUAAUUGUCUGCGCUGGUGAGAUGGAUCUCUACCUUCUGAGGAACUUUCAUGCCAUUUAUUUGGUGUGAUGGGAAAUCAGGACUGUUACUUUGAAAAAAUUAGAGUGUUUAAAGCAGACUAUCGUCUGAAUACAUUAGCAUGGAAUAAUGAAAUAGGACGGACUGAUUCUAUUUCGUUGGUUUCUAGGAUCACCGUAAUGGUUAAUAGGGAUAGUUGGGGGCAUUAGUAUUCAAUUGUCAGAGGUGAGAUUCUUGGAUUUAUUGAAGACUAACUACUGCGAAAGCAUUAGCCAAGGAUGUUUUCAUUAAUCAAGAGCGAAAGUUAGGGGAUCGAAGACGAUCAGAUACCGUCGUAGUCUUAACCAUAAACUAUGCCGACUAGGGAUCGGACGAAGUUAAUUUUAUAAUGACGCGUUCGGCACCUUACGGGAAACCAAAGUGUUUGGGUUC
rnacentral:rRNA from 1 species